rnacentral:rRNA from 1 species
UACGUAGGGUGCGAGCGUUACUCGGAAUUACUGGGCGUAAAGCGUGCGCAGGCGGUGAUGUAAGACAGAUGUGAAAUCCCCGGGCUCAACCUGGGAACUGCAUUUGUGACUGCAUCGCUGGAGUGCGGCAGAGGGGGAUGGAAUUCCGCGUGUAGCAGUGAAAUGCGUAGAUAUGCGGAGGAACACCGAUGGCGAAGGCAAUCCCCUGGGCCUGCACUGACGCUCAUGCACGAAAGCGUGGGGAGCAAAAGGG